UACGGGGGGGGGCAAGCGUUGUUCGGAAUUACUGGGCGUAAAGGCUCGUAGGCGGCCAACUAAGUCGGACGUGAAAUCCCUCGGCUUAACCGGGGAACUGCGUCCGAUACUGGAUGGCUUGAGUUCGGGAGAGGGAUGCGGAAUUCCAGGUGUAGCGGUGAAAUGCGCAGAUAUCAGGAGGAACACCAAUGGCGAAGGCAGCUCGCUGGGAC
rnacentral:rRNA from 1 species